rnacentral:misc_RNA from 1 species
GAUGAAGAACGCAGCGAAAUGCGAUAAGUAAUGUGAAUUGCAGAAUUCAGUGAAUCAUCGAAUCUUUGAACGCACAUUGCGCCCCCUGGUAUUCCGGGGGGCAUGCCUGUUCGAGCGUCAUUUCACCACUCAAGCCUUGCUUGGUAUUGGGCAACGCGGUCCGCCGCGUGCCUCAAAUCGACCGGCUGGGUCUUCUGUCCCCUAAGCGUUGUGGAAACUAUUCGCUAAAGGGUGUUCGGGAGGCUACGCCGUAAAACAACCCCAUUUCUAAGGUUGACCUCGGAUCAGGUAGGGAUACCCGCUGAACUUAAGCAUAUCAAUAGCGGAGGA